ACAGCAGUCGCCACGGUAAUACGAAGGGUGCAAGCGUUACUCGGAAUUACUGGGCGUAAAGCGUGCGUAGGUGGUUGUUUAAGUCCGUUGUGAAAGCCCUGGGCUCAACCUGGGAAUUGCAGUGGAUACUGGGCAACUAGAGUGUGGUAGAGGAUAGUGGAAUUUCCGGUGUAGCAGUGAAAUGCGUAGAGAUCGGAAGGAACAUCUGUGGCGAAGGCGACUAUCUGGGCCAACACUGACACUGAGGCACGAAAGCGUGGGGAGCAAACAGGAUUAGAUACCCCUGUAGUCCCUGUCUCUUAUAC
rnacentral:rRNA from 1 species